rnacentral:misc_RNA from 1 species
GAUGAAGAACGUAGCGAAAUGCGAUAAGUAAUGUGAAUUGCAGAAUUCAGUGAAUCAUCGAAUCUUUGAACGCACAUUGCGCCCGCCAGUAUUCUGGCGGGCAUGCCUGUUCGAGCGUCAUUUCAACCAUCAAGCCCCAGGCUUGUGUUGGAGCCCUGCGGCUGCCGCAGCCUCCCAAAACCAGUGGCGGGCUCGCUAUCACACCGAGUGCAGUAGUUUACUCUUCGCUCAGGGCGUGUGGCGGGUGCUAGCCGUAAAACCCCCAACUUCUCAAGGUUGACCUCGGAUCAGGUAGGAAUACCCGCUGAACUUAAGCAUAUCAAUAAGCGGAGGU